GCCCCCGUAGCUCACUCGGAAGAGCAGCGGACUUUUAAUCCGCGGGUACGGAGAUCGAAACUCCGCGGGGGCACCA
rnacentral:tRNA from 7 species